AUGGAUCACUGCCACGCAGACGUGGGGAGCGCUAUUGCGUACUUUGAGAAGAUGAGGGUCAAGGAUUCACAUUUCUACUGGAGAAUCAAGCUUGAUGACGAGGACUAGGUGGAGUUGUUCUGGAUUGACGGUGCGUCACACAGGGCCUAUGCAAAGUACAACUACUGGUUGUCAUUCGACACUACAUACAUGCCGAACAUGUACAAGAUGCCAUGUGGACCCUUCAUUGACAAUAAUAACCAUGGAUAAUCCAUCCAGUUCGAGUGCGGUUUCAUUCGCAACGAACUGAUCGAGAAAUUUGUGCUACUGUUUAACACAUUUUUGCAUCCAAUGGGUGCUAUUGUACAGAAAAACAUCAUCACGGAGCAAGACUUUACGACGAGGGCAACCAUUGAUAUGAUGGGGGGCUUGUCGAUGGGAAGUGGGCUUCUGCCUCACAUCAUGGCGCGUGUACCCCUAGGUAGGUCGUCCAGGCCCAUAUCUAGGCUCAACCCACAUUUGAGCAAAUGA
rnacentral:rRNA from 1 species